ensembl:lncRNA
AUGACUUCCAGCUGGAGCGUCCCGAGCAGCCCGCGCGCUCUCGCACUCUCGCUGAGCCUAGGAGCGCGGGGGUGGGUUUCUUUUCUUUUCUUUCUUUCUCUUUUUCUCCAGGCUCCUGCGGCUUCCCCCUGCCGGGAAAUGCUCUCCCUCUAGUUUUCUAGGGCUCUAAUCCCAGUCUCUCCUGAAGCGUGCUUGCGGCCUCCCUUCCUCCGUCGCGGUCUCCCUGGGCUGUGUUUUGCUGGGCAGCAUCCCAUGCUAGGCUCGGCAGACCUACUGGCGGUUGGGUUCAGCCCUUGGAAGCGCUCACACCUGCAGAGUCUAGGCUCCUGCCAAAAGGCGUAAGGCAAAAGGAGGAAAAUUUAUUGCCAUAAUAGCGAAAAUGAUAAACCUCGGCUGUCCUAGAGAAGAAUGUCGGAGUAGGUGUUGAUUGCCUCCCACGAUCGCAAAACAACUUUUUUAAGAAAGAGUUUCGCGCUAUCCCCUCUUAAAACGCGGCGGUUCUUAUUUUCCUUUUAAAGCAGACUUCAAGACUUUUAGGAACUUCAAGUUAGGGACUGGACGCUUCCAAAACGAUGAAUCAUCCCAGGAGAGAAAACAUAUCUGGGAAGUUGUAGUGGUGUAAAUAAGAAUGGAGAGUAUUUGCAAGGAGAGGGAGGGAGGGAGAGAGAAAGAACAAGGAGAGAUGGAAGAGGUUGCUGGUUUUCCGAGUAAGGCAAAUAGUUCAGUAUGCAACCCAUUUCCACCCUCACCCCAGCCCACCCCCAUCCAAAACUCUUUAAGCCCUGAAGGUGGGCGAGUUGGGGAGGUGAAGGGAGUGAAGAAGACUUAGCUAUUGACCAGGGUUGGGUGGGAGGUAAUCCUUUAUGCUUUAUUUCACUUUUAUUUUUUUGACAAAACUCUUGCUUCAGAACAUCUGCAUUUUUGGAAGUAAGUCCAUAGCAGAACUAAGCGAAACCCUCCCACGGAUAGCAUAAAUUUGCAUUGCCGAAGCUGCCGGUCUGCGGGAUUCUUGAGCCGGGAGGAGGCAAAUUCCCUUUCCAGCUCUUGCAAAAAUACCUCCAGUAAAAGCAAGCCCUUCGGCCCCUUUCUACUUUCCAGGUUUCAGCAUAUACUUCUUUGCUUUAUUUGUUGUUUAUAUGUUUAGUUCAGUCUCCAAAUGGAUUUUAAACACUUCGAAGGCAGAGAAGGACUCUCCUAAACUUUACGUCUCCCGACUCAGUUGAAUAGAUGAUGCACACCCAGCCUGAGCCAUGAGAAGAAGAGCGAUGUCAAUGAGACAGGCCAAUUUUACCCAUCUUACACAAUCGUGUAUUACAGACUUUCCAAGAAGACGCCAUUCGGGGUGAAUCACCAGAUUCAGGAUGAAAAGGUUUUGAUUUGCAAAAGCGCUCAAGCAUUUCUCUUUAGAGCCGGAGAUGGCAGGGAAGGAACCGACGUGCAUGCAGCUGCUUCACCUUUGGGCCAGGUGCACUGGCAAGCACUCCAUGGUGGAGCAGGGAGAAGGCACCCAAGCAUUUACAGGCGUCUUUGUGACACCCUGGGUGCCUGGGCCCGUGAAUGCCUUAUUUAAGCCAGCAAAGAAUGAG